rnacentral:rRNA from 1 species
UAAGUUCUCUGUAGCGCAGCUAACGCAUUAAGCACUCCGCCUGGGGAGUACGACCGCAAGGUUGAAACUCAAAGGAAUUGACGGGGGCCCGCACAAGCGGUGGAGCAUGUGGUUUAAUUCGAAGCAACGCGAAGAACCUUACCAGGUCUUGACAUACUCGUGCUAUCCUUAGAGAUAAGGAGUUCCUUCGGGACACGGGAUACAGGUGGUGCAUGGUUGUCGUCAGCUCGUGUCGUGAGAUGUUGGGUUAAGUCCCGCAACGAGCGCAACCCUUAUUACUAGUUGCCAUCACUAAGUUGGGCACUCUAGUGAGACUGCCGGUGAUAAACCGGAGGAAGGUGGGGAUGACGUCAAAUCAUCAUGCCCCUUAUGACCUGGGCUACACACGUGCUACAAUGGAUGGUACAACGAGUCGCCAACCCGCGAGGGUGCGCUAAUCUCUUAAAACCAUUCUCAGUUCGGAUUGCAGGCUGCAACUCGCCUGCAUGAAGUCGGAAUCGCUAGUAAUC